CAAACCAAACCAAACCCUAAAACACAACUCACUCACACACAACCGCCUCUCAUCUCUCUCGGUUUCUCUCUCGGUUUCUCUCUCUCUCCCUCCACCGAUCUCCCUCCGUCGUCCUCCUCUCCCCCUCCUCCGCUGUCCUCUACCUCAUUUCAUCACCGCCGAUCUCCCUACUUCUCCGCUGUCUUUGGCGAGAGAGAGCUGUGGUUAGGGUUUUCGAUCUCGGCCAGAAGAAGUACUCAGAUCUGCAACGAUCGAGGCCACAACAAGGCGGCCACAAUAAGGCGUCGCCGCUGGUGAAGAAGGUGUCUCCAAAGUAAUCAAUCUAUUUCCCCAAAUACCCUAGACAGCAGAGGUCUCCAACAAUAUUUUUGGAUUUUUUUUGGAGAUAGAGAAACAAUCGAUCUGGACAGUGAAUUGGAUAUAAUUGAUGGUGUGGGUGCUGAAGCAGGCCAUGUGAUAAGAACAACUAUUGGUGGUCGUAAUGGUCAAUCCAAGCAGGUUAGCAGAAAAUUCAUUUGUAUGAAAUUCAAAUGUUAAUGUGGUUUAAGCUGUCUUGUGUAGGCAAAAUGCCGAGAGACAGGGAGAUUGUCGCCAUCAAGAAGGUUCUCCAAGACAAGCGCUACAAGAGCAGGGAGUUACAGAUUAUGAAAAUGAUGGACCAUCCUAAUGUUGUUCUAAAACAUUGCCAUUGAUGUUAUAUGUUUUAUUUGAAUAAUUAUUGUUCCAUGUUGUAAUAGACUAAUGUUACUAUUUCUUUUUUUUGUUUUUUUAUUUUUUUGGUUGGACAUUUGAUAUAUUAUGUUGCAUGUAUUAUUUUGAGAGAUUUAUUGGUUGUGGGUUGAGAGAUGAGAGUUCUAUAUUGUUUGAGUAUUUUUUUUGUUAGUUCUCUUAUAUUUUCUUUUGUGCUCAGUUAUAGGUCUUAUGCUAUUGGUUGUGCUAUUGUUAUGCUGCUCAUGUACAGUGUGUGAGAUUACCCUUUGUUACAGUGUGUGAGUACCCUUCGUGCUGUUAUGUUGCCUUAUUUAUUUGGAUGUUUAUGUUUGGAUAUUGUUGCAUUA